GGAUUAGAUACCCUGGUAGUCCACACCGUAAACGCUGUCUACUAGCUGUUUGGACUUUCAUUAGACUGAGUAGCGAAGCUAACGCGCUAAGUAGACCGCCUGGGGAGUACGGCCGCAAGGUUAAAACUCAAAUGAAUUGACGGGGGCCCGCACAAGCGGUGGAGCAUGUGGUUUAAUUCGAUGCAACGCGAAGAACCUUACCUACACUUGACAUGCAGAGAAGAUUCCAGAGAUGGAAUUGUGCCUUCGGGAACUCUGACACAGGUGCUGCAUGGCUGUCGUCAGCUCGUGCCG
rnacentral:rRNA from 1 species